rnacentral:misc_RNA from 1 species
GAUGAAGAACGCAGCGAAAUGCGAUAAGUAAUGUGAAUUGCAGAAUUCAGUGAAUCAUCGAAUCUUUGAACGCACAUUGCGCCCGCCAGUAUUCUGGCGGGCAUGCCUGUUCGAGCGUCAUUACAACCCUCAGGCCCCCGGGCCUGGCGUUGGGGAUCGGCGGAAGCCCCCUGUGGGCACACGCCGUCCCUCAAAUACAGUGGCGGUCCCGCCGCAGCUUCCAUUGCGUAGUAGCUAACACCUCGCAACUGGAGAGCGGCGCGGCCAUGCCGUAAAACACCCAACUUCUGAAUGUUGACCUCGAAUCAGGUAGGAAUACCCGCUGAACUUAAGCAUAUAAUAAGCGGAGGA